rnacentral:rRNA from 1 species
AUUGCCCUACGGGGCGCAGCAGUGGGGAAUAUUGCGCAAUGGGGGAAACCCUGAUGCAGCGACGCCGCGUGAGUGAAGAAGUAAUUCGCUAUGUAAAGCUCUAUCAGCAGGGAAGAAAAUGACGGUACCUGAGUAAGAAGCCCCGGCUACCUACGUGCCAGCAGCCGCGGUAAUACGUAGGGGGCAAGCGUUAUCCGGAUUUACUGGGUGUAAAGGGAGCGUAGACGGCAGUGCAAGUCUGGAGUGAAAGGCGGGGGCUCAACCCCCGGACUGCUCUGGAA